rnacentral:sRNA from 1 species
GCUCCACAAGCAAUCCCAUGGCCACUGCCGUCUCAAAGAAUGAUGCAACAAUCUCCCUUCCAGUAUGGAAUCCGGCAACCACCCAAGCUACUCCUCCGCGAGCUGCUCCAUUGCUUCCAUCUCCAUCUGGCAACGAAGGCGGUGAAGGCGGUGAUGGUGGCGCAAGAAACCACAAUAGGCUCCGUAUCAGAUUCUCAUGUUGAUCUCUCAUCCAUAGACAAUCCGCCGCAAUUAUCCGGGUGUACGACCCUUGGUUCUCUACAGCGGAUAUUGAAGCAGCCUGUGUCUCUGGGUUCUGGGUUCUGCUUUCCUGGGAAGAUACUGCAUCAGAACCUAACACGCCCCAUUCGUGCGAUUGCACGAAUAUCCUGGACUGCAGGUGUAAGGGGAUAUUAUUGGCGAUGUUUGCUUGGAUGGUACCGUAGAGGGCGGGAGAUGAGGGGUGGUCUGUUAUGGUGACUUGGGCGGCACCGGCGAGAGCGCUUAUGAGUGACGGGAGGGCGGCACCUAGUAUUGCAUUGAGCAUGCUGCACCAAGCUCCAAAACCUUUUCCCCCUUCACACUCCAGAGCAAAUCCUUCUCCUCGCCAGCACCAUCUCCAGCCAGAUGCCUCACCGCACGCUCUAUCCCGUCCGCAACAACUAGCCCACCACCCCACAAAUAAUGCGCAAAGAGUCGUCUUCCUCCCUCAACGCCUUCUUCCAUAUCGGGUCUUUCCUCCUCCACCACCACCUCCUCCUCACUUCCCUUGGGAUAACCAGGAACCAUAACGGUCACAUCGCCCCACGCGCCUGAGGUAUACAGAACCGUUUUGCCUGGGUCCCCGAGGCACAAUGGCGCUUCGUCGGGGUAGAGGUGUGGGAGAAAGCUUGUGAGAAUGUCCUCAGCGUCGUCAGCGGAGGCGGGAGAGCAUGUCUGGGCAUCUUCGACGGUCAAGAUAGCGGUGGUUGCGGGGAGGUCAUGGCUGUGCAGGGGUUUAACGCGAGCGGGGAGCAUCGCGUGGUGUUUGCGGGUAUUUGUAUUUGGGACAUUUGACUUGGAUGAAAGGGCGCCUGGAUUUCUAGUUGGGCAACAUGAUUGCUGGUAUCGAGCAGCAGGAGAAAUGAAGGAGGAAUGAGUGAGUGAGUGAGUGACUGGGUGAGGGGGAGAUCUGAUAAGAAUGGGCAAACGUUAUCUGAUGACGCUAAGUCUCUCAGAGCGGAGACUUUCGUAUAACCAACUAACCUCCUGUAUUUUGUAAACCCGAAUCCAGCCCUGCCCUGCUCGCAUAAUCGCACGUCACCUCUUACAAACACUGCAUUUUGAUCAUGUAAUUAUCAGAGCGAUCUUUAGUUAAUUCAUUAUUCAUUCGAUAUUCGGUAUUUGGGUCAAUAUUCGGACAUUCUACCCUUCCAACAAUCUCUUAUCAGAAAAAAAAUAUAUCAGACCAUCUGCAAGAAGAAUAACCAACUGAAUUCUGCGUUUGCAGAUCCAACGGAGACUAGAAAAGCACUAAACACGCACCAAAGGAGAGUAAAAGAAAGCGAGGAGGAAGAAAGAGCCACCAGAUUGGUCAAUGAUUGCUUUGACAGGAAUUAAACUGACACAAUCACUAGGAUUCAGUUUUCAGCUCUGCUUCUCUUCCCCUCUUUUUCUCCAGCUCUCAGACGGGGUCAGCAGCUGUGACUCCUUCGGAGAGAUAUACCAAGUAAUGGAAAAAAUAGUAGAUAAAAGCUUCACCUGUUCGCCUACGGCCGUUAGCCUAGCGUUGUCAGCCUCUAUUGAAGACAAUUUGACCCAUACAUAUCGACUGCUGGCUUUCGAAGCAAAAAGAAUAAUAUUGCUAGCUAAUGAAGAUGAUAUUAUUUAAACUCCAAAACGGCCAUGGGCCAGCUGGCUAGAUCGUACUAUACUGCGGAGAUAAGACCUUGCGACUAAUCGCCGUCGCCUUGCAUGCCUUUGCUAACCCCCACCCCGCCGUACAUUAUUUCUCAUAUGCAACUGCAGCGAUGUCAGGGGAGUUUCGCGGAUACCAUGCACAUUGCUUUAUCUCGUAAGGUGAUUGUCGGACGGUUGUCGAUUGGUUGUCGAUUGGGCGGUGCGGGGAGACAUUGAAUCGGAGAUGCGAGGGUGAGGAGGUGGCGGGGUAUAUAGAGCAUGGAGGAAUGAGACUGUAUGGAUAGUAGAUGUUAGCGGCGGGCGGAGACAUUGCAUCUUGAGUUCGUUCUUACCAUCGCCCGGGGCAUUGUCCAUUGUCCUGGUUAUUUUUGGGCUAGACAACAACGCUGGCUCUUAGCAUGGUGGCGAUCACCCCGCGGAGAGGGCGAGCUGAGUCAAACCAUGGGUGGAGGCAGAAAUGCACCGUAAGGGACGGUUGUUUCAUUGGGGCCCCGCUACUCCUGAACCCUCGCAUCAUGGAGGGGGUAUAAAUAAAUGCACAAACACCUUCGCUGUCAAGAAGGCAUAGGCGUUCACCUAGUCUGUGCUACAAAUCCAACUCUACCUCGAUUUCCAUUACGCCAGCUCUAUAAACAGAUAGUAUAAAUAACGAAGCAGCAACGGCGAAGCAAAGCGAAGAUGGACCCCCUCAUGCAAAAGACCUUCACAACCUCGCGCUCCCUCACAUACUCCUACUAUAUCUCACCCCCGCC